GACAGAGAUAAUAAAAGAUUGUCAGAAGAGAAGUCGACUUUAAAUAAUUAAGUACGAACUUUAUGAAGUCUAACCAUCGACAGGGGGGUGUCGUGGUGAUGAUGUAGAGAGGGGAGGUGUAAGAAGGUUCUGAGAAACGAUUAAGGGGUCUCGACUUUUUUGAUCGUCCGUUAGUAGACUUCUCUUCGAAGCACUAAUGCGGAAAUUCUCUCCCUCUUCCUCCUCCUCCUCCUCCUCCUCUCUAUUCUCCCAUCCUUAUUCUCUCUCUCUCUUUUUUACAAAAGCAUGGUAGCUGACUGUAUGACUCUCGAAACGAAGAGUCCUUGUAAACCGUCUUGAUUCUCUCUUUUCACGAGAGAGAGAGAGAGUGAGAGUAUUACCCUCCUCCUUCUCUUCAUCUUCUAUCCCCCAUUCUACCUAUCUACCUACCUACCUACCUACCUACCUACCUACCUACCUACCUACCUACCUAUCUACCCCUUCAACCCUUGUCAGACGUCCGAGGGUGAAUUGUUAGAAUUCACUGGGAAUGUCGGGUAACGCGAAUUUUCUAGAAAUUCCGCGUUCGCGUUUAGUCCAACGUUCGAAGGGUUCGAACGUUUGUCGAAGCUGCCACUUCUCUUUCUCUCUCUCUUUUUUCUUUUUUAUUUAUUUAUUUAUUUUUUUUUUGUUUCAUUUUUCAUUACGCGAACUAUCCAUUCAAGAACGUUUCUCCGAACGAUAUUAUUAUUUCAUAUAUACCCGUAGAUUCGUGAAAGAAUGACGAUUUGAGAAAUGAAUCGAUGGAAUAUAAGUUACGAAUUUUGUUUUUCUUUUUAAUAAUUCUUAUGAUAUAAAAUUUUAUAAUUCGACGUAAUGAGAUUAUUAAUAAUUGUGUAUCGACAAACCAUCGAUGUUGUCAUUAAAUAUUUUUUUUAUUUAUUGUUUGAUCACUUAAUUACUUAUUUGCUUAUUUGAAUUGCAUAUGAUUAAUUAAAGUGAUAAUAAGUAAAUGAUUAAUUAAAAUGAUCAUAUAAGCUAGUGGAUUAAUUUAAAAAAAAUUAUCGCCUAAGUUAAAUGAUGAUUAAUAAAAAUGAUCACACACACACGUUAAUAUAAUUAAUAUUGAAGAUAAUAACGUUUGUUCGUUUGUAAUGAUUCUUUGAAGGAUAGAAACGAUAGAAAUUGUAAAAGCUAAAGAAAUUGUAAAAGUAUUUGGUUGUAACUUGCCUUGCCAUUUCUGUGUUGAAUCGACCCUUAAGGUACCCUCGCUUUGAAUCUGAUCUUUACCAUUGGUCACGCGACACGAGUAAAAUCCAACGUCGGAAACGUCGAGGUUAGUGAUCUUAAGACGACUACCGGCUAUAUUCUUAGCUGCGUGCUCGUGUGCCUGUAAAAUAAUGUUUUUCUUUUUUACAAUUUUAUCGACGAAUAAUUAAUUAUUAUUCGGUUUUAAUCGGAUCAAAGACUAUUACGUUCUCGUAUCUUUUAAUGGACGGACGAAAAAGAAUAAAAGUCAAACAAAUACUUUAUAUAUUUAAUUCAUUCCUCAUUACAUUUCAUUGAUAUUAAUAAUAUCUACAUAAUGAAUAAAAAAUACCUGAGCAUGAAUCUUCCUAAUCGUGAUCUUCGGUCGUUUCUCUUCAAGAGGUGCUUCAUUUUUAUACCAACGUAUUUUGAUAGGUGGUGGAUCACCAACUGCCUCGCAACGCAUAUGAGCUACGCCACCUUCGUCCUUCGAUAUAUUCGAGAGGGUCCUGACAAACUUCAAAGUACCACUUUUGCUGCCAGUGCUCGCGUCCACGUCGGUUCUGUAAACGAAACACAUUCGAGAGAAACGAUCUCGAUAGAAAAAGAACACAUACAAAAAAGAAAAAAAAAAAAAAAGAAAAAAAAAAAGAAUAAAGGCACAAAAAAAUCUGAGAAAAGAAACAUAAAAGAAGGAAGAAGAAGAAGAGCACCCUUACAUUAUUUCUCGAAUAAACGCGCUUAUAAAUCAAUUUACGAGCGUCCUUUAGCUCGACCCUCGAGUACGAUCCGAUUCACCCUCUUCUCCCUCUCUCUCUCUCUCUCUCUCUCUCUCUCUCUCUCUCUCUCUCUCUCUCUCUCUCUCUUUCUCUCUCUUUAUCUUUCUCUAUCUUUAUCUAUCUCUUACUCUCUCUUUUUCUCUCUUUCUCUGUUUCUCUCUUUUCGUUAUUCGAUAGAGCACGAGAGACUCAAUGCGAUAGGCAUACCUGUCGCGUUUGAACGCGUAAAAUCGUUCGACCGGAACGAACUUAUAUGUGUACGAGUAUAUAUAUCUAUAUAUAUAAAUAUAUACAUUUAUAUUUGUGUGUAUAUAAAUAUAUACACACACAUACACACACAUAUAUAUAUAUAUAUCCAUUUCUUUUUUCUCUUUCUUUCUUUCUAUAUUUUUCUUUUUUUUCUUUCGUUGUUCUCAUAACGAGAGAUGGAAGGAAGAGAUGGGGGAUAUUGUUUUUCGCACGUUGUCGAGACUGAGAACAUUAAUCUCUAACGGAUAGGUGAAAAACAAUGAUUAAUGACGUAGCUACGAAGGCAACGCUAAUAAAGAGAUUGCUUUUACGAAGAAAAGUAUUUCCUACGGAUAAGCGUUUCUCUUUUAAAAACGCGAGCAAAUAACUGACUAUGUACUAAAAGCCUCUCCUAGUAAACGUAACUCGUUUGUACGAUACUCUCGUUUCUAAUUAUAUACGUCGUGAGAUUGAUUAUUUCACGUUUUUGAAACGAGAAAAAAAGGAAAUAGAAUAGAAAAUAGAAAUAAAUUGAAUAAUAGCUAAAUUUGUCGAACUCGAAAAUAAAAUGUAAAUGAUAAUAUAUUUGUUUGCAUUUAUUUAUUUAUUUAUUUAUUUUUUCUUUCUUCCACACAUUAUAUAUUUAGACGCGUAAUAAUUAAUCAUGAUACAUAAUAUUUUAUGUACGUCGUUUCAUAAUAUCUACGUCCUUUUAUUAUAAUAGAAUAACAUUUUUAAGUUUCUUUCAAUUUUUUUUUUCUCUUAACAAUAAAUUUGGACACGUUCGAUUUCAUUUUUAUUAACAAAAAAAAAAAAAAAAACAAACAAAAAAGAAAAAAGAACUCGUGAAAAUAACUCCGUGGAAAAGAAUUAUUCGCGAGCGUCUUAAAUUUUGAUUAAGUAAAAAAUAUUGAAUUUGAAAUAAAUCAUCUGUCUGGUAUAAUCGAAUAUCGUAAUUAUAUCGGACAAAAAGGUCGUUUAUAAAAACAUCGUUCGUUCGUAUAUCGACGGUAGUAGUUUCGUGGUAUAUAAAAAAAAAAAAAGAAACAAAAAGAAAAAGUAGGAUGAUUUAUCAUUUGAAAUAGUUUUGGUUUCACGUAUCUACGAUUAUUAGUUUCGUUGAUAUCGUUCACGAAAAAUUGCCAUUCAUAAAUCGUUUACUACGUUUGUCGGUAGUAGUAAGGUAGUAAGCGUAACGUAGUAAUAGUAGUAGUAAGCGGUAGUGAAAUGAAUGAAAGAAAAAAGAGAAAGAAAUAAAAAGAGAGAAAGAGAGAGAGAGAAACUUGCUAGAUCGCAAGUACGAAUUUAUACGUGCAUAUAUGGGAUCUGAAAUAAUUAGGUCAGUUUAUCAAUUGUAUUGAUUUUAAUUUACACGACACAAUUUAUUCCUAAUCAAUUAUCAUAGAUACAUCGAAUAUGUACUCCUUUAAAUAUUAAAAGCGAAAGAAUUAAUAGAGAAGAAAAAUUGUAAAAUGAUGAAAAAAAGAAAAAAAAAAAAAAAAAAAAAAAAAAAAUUUUGCUCUCUAAUUACUAAGAAAUAUCAAACGAAUUCAUUUCGAAAUUUAAUUAGUCAUAAUUUCUAAAUUGUAAUCGCGCAAAUUAAUAAUAUAUUUUUUUAAAUAUCAAAAAAAGAUAGAAUGUAAUAAACAAAUGUAAAAUUUUUAAACAAGAUAAUACCGAAAAAGAAAAGAGAAAGAAAGGAAAAGGAAAAAAAGAAAAAAGAAAAAAAAAAAGAGAGAAUACUUAGUUCUCUAAUUAAAAAUUACGUUCUAGUUCGAAGAUAAAUAUUUCCAGGUACAUUUAGUCAAGAGCCUGCGGAACUAAUUUCAAGAUCGAUCACCCGAUGUUCUCGAACUCUCUCGAGAAAGAGAGAGAGAGAGAGAGAGAGAGAGAGAGAAAGGGAGAGAGUAAAACAAGAAGAAAGACUUUCGUAACCACGAUGCCUAGGCUACAACAACCUCCGGCAUCCUCUUCUCGAAGGGAUUCCGAAUUCCACGUUAAUUAGCGGGUGGCACUUUAACCAGGACAAAGAGCGUCUAGACCGUCGACCCAUGAAACAAUUCGCCCGUUUCGAUACUUCAGAAUGGGUGUUAAAGUCAAAUACAUAUAUACGUAGAUGCAUGUAUAUAUGCACGUGCAUGUGUUUAUAUGUGCAUGUGCACGUGUAUCUACAUGUGCGUCGUUAGAUGCGUACGAAGGGCAUAUCAUCCCUUUAAAAGAUCGCACUCGAGUCAACAUCUACCUCUUUCCACUCUCCUCUCCUCCCUAUUCCCCUUCCACUCUCUCUCUCUCUCUCUCUCUCUUUCUCUCGUUGUUUUAAUUGGUACGAACGUUGAAACUUCUUUUUUUCCUCCCGUUAUUUCUUUUCAUUCGAGACUUUUUUCAAAAAGAAAAAUAGAGGAAAA